AUUGAACGCUGGCGGCAUGCCUUACACAUGCAAGUCGAACGGCAGCACGGGAGUAAUCCUGGUGGCGAGUGGCGAACGGGUGAGUAAUAUAUCGGAACGUGCCCAGUCGUGGGGAUAACGUAGCGAAAGCUACGCUAAUACCGCAUACGAUCUAUGGAUGAAAGCGGGGGAUCGCAAGACCUCGCGCGAUUGGAGCGGCCGAUAUCAGAUUAGGUAGUUGGUGAGGUAAAGGCUCACCAAGCCGACGAUCUGUAGCUGGUCUGAGAGGACGACCAGCCACACUGGGACUGAGACACGGCCCAGACUCCUACGGGAGGCAGCAGUGGGGAAUUUUGGACAAUGGGCACAAGCCUGAUCCAGCAAUGCCGCGUGCAGGAUGAAGGCCUCGG
rnacentral:rRNA from 1 species